UCAGAGGGCUGAUUGCUAGCACCUGAACCAGGGAGGGGAGCUUAAAAGGCUGGGAGAGGUCUCUGCUGCAAGCAAUGUUGGGCACCAGCAUCAGACCCCCCACCAGCCGUAUCCUGUGGAAUCUUGAAACCUGGAUUACCCUGUGGGAAUAUUGAACUUUUGCUUUGUUGACUGACUUUGCCUUUUGAAAGGAUAACCUUUCUGGGGUUCACAGACUAUAUUCUACUUUUCAGAGAAAAGAAAGUCUAGAAAGAAUUUACUCCACAGUACAUGGUUCAUCCAUGCCAAGAGAUAAAACAAUUAUCUGGAUCCUUGCAACAGCUCAGCUAAUCCUAGCCUGAGUGGCACAAUAAAAUGAACAUCAACCCCAACCCCACUGAAGUAAGGUCUGUGCUGAAGAAAUUGGUUUAUACCUAUGUCCAAGAGAGGAACAGGAAAGGAUGCUGUAAUUACACAAACCCAUAUCUUGAAGAACAGGAGGAGAUUGCUGCUUCUCUAUUCAUCCUGAUUAUUGUAGGGUUUUUUGGCUUUCUCCUGUUUUCUAUGAUGAUCAGCAAUAUUGUUACCAGGCAGCGAGAAAAUUAUACUGACUACCUUUAUCCAGAGAACAUUCAGAGAAGUGGAAAAAGACCUCCCUGCAAAGACACAUUGGCGGCAGCUGCUUGCAAGGUCACACCAGAGCUUGGUCCUUCUGGCCAGUGCCAAAAGACUAACAGCUGUACAACAGCAGCUGAGGCUCCAAGCGCAGAAUCAGGACUGGGAAAUGUAUGAAAGUGCACCUCACAUGUAGCAUGAGGGCUUAUUUUUAACCAUAGGUGAUUUUGUUACUCACUGAAGUAUGGGACUAAUUGUACUAGCCUCAGCCAGUUCCUGGCGAGUCUUCUUCAGCAUGUGCUUCUACAAUGUGUCUCUCACAGAAGAAAACCAUCUCCCUCCUUAAUUGUGCCAUUGUGAAGGCAUUUGUUUUUCUAGCUGUGGCCUUUGGGCACCCUUUAUGUGUUUUCUUCUUGACAUUAAGAUUUAUUUAUUUUUUAACGUAUAACAUGGAUAAUGUUUAAAAAUAAAGACAAAAAACUUG